CUGGGAUUAAAGGCAUGCACCAAAAAUCAUCUUAGAAACUCAGACCACUCUAGACCUGCUGAGUCAGAAUCUGUGCUCUGUUCAAGUCCCCAAGGGAUUUUUAUGGACUGAAGGUUUAGAAGCACCCACCUGACUUGGCACCGAAUUCAGAGCAUGGGGACAUAGUUCCUGGUUGUCCAUGGAGAUUAGUCCUCCCUGAAACAGGCUAGAAUGUGUCCAGUAGAAUCAAGGAAGACAAAACUCCAUGUUAUAAUUUUGUCAUUGACACUGGUGAGCCCAGAACAUUCUUUGGAUGCUAUGCGUGGAACAGUGCCACUGUGAAGAUCCAAGAAUGCUUCUUUACCUAAAACUAGGAGCCGCAUACAUUCCUGGGAUAAAGGAAAAUCCAGUGAAAGGGAGAGCAAGGAAAAAUGAGCCUUGUCCUUCCCAGCUCUUGGAGAUGUUAUUCUAUGACAAACAUCCCUCUCUCUCUCCCUCACUCUCUCUCUCUCUCUCUCUCUCUCUCUCUCUCUCUCUCUCUCUCUCUCUCUCUCUCCCUCUCUCUCUCUCCUGAUAUUGCUCUACUGUCCCCAAACAUUGAGUUGACAUUUUCCUCUGUUUAUCUCUGACUUUUUUUUUCACUUGGCCUUCUGGUUUUUCCUGCAAUAAUAUUGACUAAAUGAGAUGGUUAUCAGAGACUAGUAACGGUUGCCAAGGCAUCUGGCAAAAGAACCAUCCUAAGUGCCAGCUGUUUACUUGAUACCAGCAAACCCUUUCUUCUACCUACUUGUGGUCUCCCACUCAGAGGGCUUUUUACCUUAUAGAUGCAUUUGGCAGUGCAAUCCCUGAGUCUAAAGGUAACAGGUUGAAUAUAGUUAGUAACAGAGAGUAAAUCCCAAAGUUCAUAUUCUCCCAGGUAGCUCUUAGCCUCAACCGGAUCCUCACAGUGUAAAAGAGUAGAUGUUUUAAUUUUGACAUGGAAAAAGAAUCCACUUUAUGCGAGUAUCAUGCAUAAGAUGUGAUGGGAUGUGUACCUUAGUCCCUCAGACUGUAUAUAUUCUUGCUUGACACUCUAUUUAUAAAUAAGCUUUCAUGUCAGAUUUCAAAGCCAUAAUGAAUUAGGAAAGAAAAGCAACUUGUUAUAUGUAAGUAUACCAUAACUGCUAUUUACAAUGGAGGAUGCAGUUAAAUAGCAGAAAACCUACCCACAUCUAUACCCCUAGCCCCUCAAACACACACACACACACACACACACACACACACACACACACUCCAGCAGCAGAAACUUGGAAUUACUCUGUAUAUGUAAAAACAUUCACACCCAUACUUUCUUUCUUGCCCCUGAGAUCAUGAGUGUAUUAUAAUUCAGUAGCCCAGUUAAUAUACUUCACAGUAGUGCUAAGUCAUGCUCCAAAUGUGACCUCUCCAAAGUGAACAAAUGAUAUAGCUAUUUCAUGUUUUAUAUUCUUGCUUUUGCCCUCUAGUACAGCAGGACUACACACUUACCUCACCUAUUCCUUACAGGAUGCCUGAGAGACUUUAUUACCCUGAUUUUAUGGCCAGAACAUAGGACUCAGUCUCAGAAAUCUCUUAGGGUCCCACAGUAAUAACAAAAUCGUUUGAAAAUCUAGAAUUGCCAGAUGCAAGAAUUGAGUGAGAGGAAACAUGGCAUCAAAUGACAGAUACAGACCGUCUCAGGGCCAAGUGCUCUGUGUGUGUGUGUGUGUGUGUGUGUGUGUGUGUGUGUGUGUGUGUGUGUGUGUGUGUAUUUUGUUUUUGAGACAGGGUCUUAUCAUGUAGCCCUGGCAAGCCUGAAACUCUGAAUGAGACCAGGCUGGCCUUGAACUCACAGAGAUCUGCCUGGUUUUGCCUCCUGAGUGCUGGGAUUAAAGGCAUGCACCAAGGUUCUUCUUAGAAACUCGGGCCAUCCCAGACCUGCUAUCCUCUGAUGAAUUUGAAACGUUUUCAUCAUUUCUAGCAUUUUCAUCAUUUCUAGCAUUUCAGUGCCCCCUAUAAUUAGCUCUCUGUAAUUAGAUGCUCUCUUUACAUCUAGAAGCUUCCACAGUAUCUAAUCCAGGGAUAGUGAUUCUUUUCCUAUUAAAUAACACUAGGAAAACAGAUUCAGAAUUUAGCAUCAGGAAAUGUGUCAUAAUCAUUGUCACUCAUUGGUGGACCAGGUGCCCCAUGAAGAGAAGGUGGCUUACACAGUCAGCAGCGUCAUUCCAAAUCACCUUUAAUGGCAUUUAUGAAGAUCCUAAAGAAGACACACUUGAGGGUUUGCUGGAAGAUGUGGAAAGACUGGCAAGAUGUUUACAAAUACUGAACCGCGAGGGAGCACCUGCCCUUCCGGUCCUCCACUGUGAACCUCGAGGAAGCACCUGCCCUUCCGGUCCUACACUGUGAACAGUGAGGUAGCACCUGCCCUUCCGGUCCUACACUGUGAACUGUGAGGGAGCACCUGCCCUUCCGGUCCUACACUGUGAACCUCGAGGAAGCACCUGCCCUUCCGGUCCUCCAGUGUGAACAGUGAGGGAGCACCUGCCCUUCCGGUCCUCCACUGUGAACCUCGAGGAAGCACCUGUCCUUCCGGUCCUUCACUGUUAACUGUGAGGGAGCAUCUGCUCUUCCGGUCCUACACUGUGAACUGUGAGGGAGCACCUGCCCUUCCGGUCCUACACUGUGAACCUCGAGGGAGCACCUGCCCUUCCGGUCCUACACUGUGAACUGUGAGGGAGCACCUGCCCUUCCGGUCCUACACUGUGAAAUCCAACUAAAUUGUAAAAGAAUACAAAAGGCAAAAAGUAUAACUCCUGCCUUAUUUGUAUAUUUCAGAUGUCCUGGUCAGGCACGGAGAUACCAGAUGAAUCUCUGAAAAGUGUUUCAGCGUCUAACCAAACAGGAGUCCAGAAAUGGCCAAGAAGUCAGAUGCAGAAAGGGAGAAUACAAUUAGGUCUGUGCUUAGGGAUAGAGACCUACUAGAUUCAUGAUUGGGAGCUGCUAAAGGUUCCCAGGUUACUGCAGGGCAGAUAGCAUUGCUUAAAGAAAGUCUGCAGGCAAGGCUCCAGAGUUCACCUCGCAGCUGAGGGCAUGAUCUUAAACAAACUCUGAGUCUCUCCCUUCCUUCUUACCUGCAGCAGGACACACACACACACACAGAUUUGGGGUUGAACCUAGUAACAGCUCUGGAGUUAGUAAGUUAGAAUUUUACACUAAAUUUUGUUCUAACAUUCGGGCUGUAUGGAAAUUUCUUUGUUUUCAACACUUGCAUGGAGUUUGAAAUGUCAAGCCAUUGUGAAAAUGUAGUCCCCAGCCUAGCAGUGCUUAGCCAAUAAGGCAAACAGCAACACAUGUGAAUUGAGUAAGAUAAGGACUUUUAAAAUAGAACAAUCUUGCCCCAUAGAACUUGUGUCACUGUGAAGACUGAGAAACAGUGAAGAACCAUUUCUUAUAGUUUCCCAAUAGUCGUAGAAAAGGUUAAAUAAAAGGGACAAAUUGCCUAAGACUAUUCAUCUCCAAAACUCCAAGUGGCAGUCACAUACAGCGGUUAUCUGAACCCAGAAAUCCUGAAACAAAAAGCUACUGUUUGCUGGAGCUUGGUGCCACGAAAAAGUAAAUCUACAAUGUGAACUAAGGAAAUGGAGAAUUCCUUUGAAUCAGCAUGCACAGAUGCCAAAACUUACGAAUAACGCCCUUUGGAGCAGUAACACUGGCCACCCUGGAGCAGCCUUGGAGUGCCUUGCUGGACAAGAAGGAGCAGAAUCCCAGUGGACUCAGGCAGGAAGCCCAUGGACAGCAUGCAGGACCGCCCCUGAAACACUGUCUGGUAUGGAUGAGGGUGCCUUACACAUUCCGGAGGUGACCUCUGGGCAUCUUUCAUUGCCAUUUUUCUCAUGUUCAGGACAUGGCUUUCUUUCUCUGGCAUAAUCUCUUCCACAAACAGUUGCUGAAAAGACUCACUUCUCUCUGCAUCUGUUUGCUUGUUCCUUUUUCUGGAUAGGCUGUGAAUUUUCUAAAUGUUUUUGCUGUAUUCUAAGUUUCCCUCUGCUUUUUGACACUGUUCCCAAAGCCUACUGAGCACAGUUACAAGUAACCCAGCAGCCAUCUGAAAGCUUUAGUGGCUAGAGACUUCUGCUAGCAUUUCAGGAUGCUUAAGUUUUAUCUUUCAUGAUCAUAUGCAAAAAUUUAGAUAUAUUCUAUGUUGCUGUAUUUAAAAUAAAUAUUUGUUUAUAAAUAAACUUAUAAUAAAUCA